AUCCAGGUGAAGAUUCGCAAAUAGGACGAAAUGCGCAUCUUGGAU
rfam:Trichobilharzia regenti genome assembly, scaffold: TRE_scaffold0042214